CGUCAAAGCUUAACUUCAUUAUAGAAUAAUUCUUUAAACCCCUUAGAACCCCUAACCAAUACUAAAUAAUCCUAUACCCUUAUAGAAUGUUUUAUGCUAAAACUAGUAACAAGAAGAAACCUUCUCCCUUAUGUUAGUGUGAAUCAGAACAGAAAGUCUACUGAUUUUUAACAGUAAUAAACCAUAGUAUUUAAAGCACUUUAAAACCUCCCUACUUCAAUAACUGUUGACCUUACACAAGAGCAUAAAAAGAAAGAUUACAAGAAAAAGAAGGAACUCGGCAAAUCACGAUUCCGCCUGUUUACCAAAAACAUCGCCUCCUGCUAACCUAUAGGAGGUCCCGCCUGCCCAGUGACCUAGUUUAACGGCCGCGGUAUCCUAACCGUGCGAAGGUAGCGUAAUCACCUGUUUUUUAAUUGAAGACCUGUAUGAAAGGCACCACGAGAGUCGUACUGUCUCCUUUUUCCAAUCAGUGAAACUAAUCUCCCCGUGAAAAAGCGAGGAUAUAAACACAAGACGAGAAGACCCUAUGGAGCUUAAGACAAAGUAACAUUUUUUCCAUCAUUUACCACCCUAUCUCCCCCAUCAUUUAAGUUACAAGUCUUCGGUUGGGGCAACCACGGAGUAAAAAUUACCCUCCACGCUGAACGGAAUUUUCCUAAGCAAAAAGCUACAACUUUAAGCAUCAUUAAAUUGACAUCAUGACCCAAUAUUUUGAUUAUCGAACCAAGUUACCCUAGGGAUAACAGCGCAAUCCACUUCAAGAGUUCGUAUCAACAAGUGGGCUUACGACCUCG
rnacentral:rRNA from 1 species